rnacentral:rRNA from 2 species
AGACCCGAAACCCGGUGAUCUAGCCAUGGGCAGGUUGAAGGUUGGGUAACACUAACUGGAGGACCGAACCGACUAAUGUUGAAAAAUUAGCGGAUGACCUGUGGCUGGGGGUGAAAGGCCAAUCAAACCGGGAGAUAGCUGGUUCUCCCCGAAAGCUAUUUAGGUAGCGCCUCGUGAAUUCAUCUCCGGGGGUAGAGCACUGUUUCGGCUAGGGGGCCAUCCCGGCUUACCAACCCGAUGCAAACUGCGAAUACCGGAGAAUGUUAUCACGGGAGACACACGGCGGGUGCUAACGUCCGUCGUGAAGAGGGAAACAACCCAGACCGCCAGCUAAGGUCCCAAAGUCAUGGUUAAGUGGGAAACGAUGUGGGAAGGCCCAGACAGCCAGGAUGUUGGCUUAGAAGCAGCCAUCAUUUAAAGAAAGCGUAAUAGCUCACUGGUCGAGUCGGCCUGCGCGGAAGAUGUAACGGGGCUAAACCAUGCACCGAAGCUGCGGCAGCGACACUCAGGUGUUGUUGGGUAGGGGAGCGUUCUGUAAGCCUGUGAAGGUGUGUCGUGAGGCAUGCUGGAGGUAUCAGAA